rnacentral:rRNA from 1 species
CUAACCACCGGGAUGUUCAUAACCCUUUGUUGUCCGACUCUGUUGCCUCCGGGGCGACCCUGCCUUCGGGCGGGGGCUCCGGGUGGACACUUCAAACUCUUGCGUAACUUUGCAGUCUGAGUAAACUUAAUUAAUAAAUUAAAACUUUUAACAACGGAUCUCUUGGUUCUGGCAUCGAUGAAGAACGCAGCGAAAUGCGAUAAGUAAUGUGAAUUGCAGAAUUCAGUGAAUCAUCGAAUCUUUGAACGCACAUUGCGCCCCCUGGUAUUCCGGGGGGCAUGCCUGUUCGAGCGUCAUUUCACCACUCAAGCCUCGCUUGGUAUUGGGCAACGCGGUCCGCCGCGUGCCUCAAAUCGACCGGCUGGGUCUUCUGUCCCCUAAGCGUUGUGGAAACUAUUCGCUAAAGGGUGUUCGGGAGGCUACGCCGUAAAACAACCCCAUUUCUAAGGUUGACCUCGGAUCAGGUAGGGAUACCCGCUGAACUUAAGCAUA